AUAGAGCUUUGGCCUGCAGACUGAAGGGUCUCAGGUUCGAUUCUGUUCAAAGGCACAUACCUGGGUUGAGGACUUGGUCCAACGUGCAGGAGCAGUCAAUCAAUGAUUCCCUCUCAUCGUUGAUGUUUCUAUCUCUCUCUCCCUAUCCCUUCCUCUCUGAAAUCAAAUAUAUAUAUUUAAAAAAUAAAA